AAGUCGUAACAAGGUUUCCGUAGGUGAACCUGCGGAAGGAUCAUUAUUGAAUAAACUUGGUUGGGUUGUUGCUGGCUCUGUGGAGCAUGUGCACGCCUAGCACCAUUUUAUUAACCACCUGUGCACCUUUUGUAGACUUGGAUACCUCUCGAGGAAGCUCGGUUUUGAGGACUGCUUUGCAGCUUUCCUUACAUUUCCAGUCUAUGUUUUUAACAUAUAUACCCCAUAAGAAUGUAACAGAAUGUCAUUAAUUGGCCUUUUGUGCCUUUAAAUCAAAUACAACUUUCAACAACGGAUCUC
rnacentral:misc_RNA from 1 species